rnacentral:rRNA from 1 species
UGGGGAAUCUUGGACAAUGGGCGCAAGCCUGAUCCAGCCAUGCCGCGUGGAUGAUGAAGGCCUUAGGGUUGUAAAAUCCUUUCGUUGGGGACGAUAAUGACGGUACCCAAAGAAGAAGCUCCGGCUAACUACGUGCCAGCAGCCGCGGUAAAACGUAGGGGACGAGCGUUAUCCGGAUUUACUGGGCGUAAAGCGCAUGUAGGUGGCUUGAAAAGUUGGACGUGAAAGCUCCUGGCUUAACUGGGAGAGGUCGUACAAAACUAGCAAGCUUGAGGUUGGAAGAGGAGAGCAGAAUUCCCGGUGUAGUGGUGGAAUGCGUAGAUAUCGGGAGGAAUACCAGUGGCGAAAUCGGCUCUCUGGUUCAAUACUGACACUGAGAUGCGAAAGCGUGGGGAGCGAACGGGAUUAGAUACCCCCGUAGUCCCUGAGCGGGCUGGCAAGGCGCAU